CAUUGAGCCAAUCCUGCAGCUGCUGCCCACCGAACCACACGAAGAACCUUCAGCUGUCAUUCUGCCGCUCGAUGCUGGUGAGCCGGACAGUGCCUGCCGUGAUGUUCAGUGUGUGUCUGUAGUCUCCUCCCUCUCCCAGUGGACAUAAGCAGAGACAUCAUUUGGAAUGAUGUGGGGUCCAGAGAGUCGGCUCUGCUGGUUUGAAAGCGCAGAGACACACUGCUUGACUCGCGAGGUAAUC